rnacentral:lncRNA from 1 species
AUAAACAUGAAUCUCUUGUAAAAAGAAAAAAAAUCAUUGAAGGAACAUAUUGAAUGAAAAUGGUAUACCUGGCACUUUGGAUUUAUAAUUCUUACACUGUAAUAACCUCAUUAUCUUAUUUUAUCUUCUAUACCAGUAUAUGUAUAUAUCUGCUAGUUACAUGCAAACAAAUGAGUCUGUGAUAACAAUAUUGAGAAGUUGGGCAAUCUAUAUAUUUUUACUAUGACUAUUACUUAACAUCUACAGAUCUGAUAAUAUUUGUUAUAAAAUACUUUUCUUUCAAACCUUGAAAUGGAUUCAUCUAAGUGCCAAGAAAAAAAUAAGUAUCUAAAAAUGUCUUCUCUGGAGAUUUAUGCUGGGAAGUGUCAGAACAAUGGGCAAAGUACAACUGAGAGGGCUCAGUGAGGCUCAGUCACUGCCAGGCCCCAAGUGUUCCAGAAGAUUAGCACUGUCGUAAGCGUAAUUAUGAUAGAUGAUGAUUAGGUGCUAUCUUUGGUUGUUUUUUCUGGCUUUCUUUGACAUGCUUGUCUUAAUUAAAUCCAAACUAGAAUGAAAAAUAAGAAAAUCUGCCAUUUAACCUACUGUAUAAAAAGCCAAAAUUACACAUCAGCUCAUAUUUAUUCAUCUUUAACAAGAAAAGCAAUGCCAUUGGAGAUUAAUCAAGUGUUGUUGUUUUUAUUUAACUCUUAUAUCUUUUAGAUUUAUGUUUACUAGAAGCCAUGGAUGUGAAAGUAUGUAAAAUUAUAAGACUCUGGGAAGACAGACUGAGAAUAGAGGAGAAAUAAUCUGCCAUGUUGUUAGCUCCCCUGUGAGGAGACCCAUGUGAUGAGGAACUGAGGCCUGACAACAGUCAGAAGAGUGGGCUUGGAAGUGGAUCCUUAAGCUCCAAACCUUGAGAUGAUCCCAUUUCUGGCCAACAUCUUGACAGAAAUCUGAUGCAAGACCCUGAGCCAGAACCACCCAGUUUAGCUGUACCCUGAUCCUUGACCCUGAGGAAUUGUUUCAGAAGAAACUACCUUAAUGAAGAAACAGAAGGGAAAGACGUGAAAACCUCCAGAGUUCUUCAGAAAGGCUUCCUUUGCAUAGAAUCGUUCAUCAAUUUCAACAGUAACAGAAAGUAACGGAAACGUGAUCUGAAUGAGUAGCUGAAAAUUGAGUAGUAACUUAACACUCCAUUGAAGUUUUUCAUCAGAUAUGGGGCACAGCUUGACCCUCGUAUUAUAAAUAUUUAAAUGCUUUGGAUAUUUUGCCAAAGUUUAAGCAUUUCUUCCCAAAGGAACAGUGGUGAUAUAAUGUGAGUCAUGCUAAAGUACUUAACCAUCAGUGGGCAGAUUUUGUGGCAUGAAUUUUUGUAAUGAUUUUAAGUAAGACCCGGUAUAUUCACAAAUAUCCAAAACUUUAUUUAGAACUGUAUGGGAAGCUAUUCUAUCUAAAAGCUCAUUCUUAUUAAAAGUAUUUUUUCAGGAAAUAAAAUGAUGUUAAACCUGGAAGUCUCCAGCAAAGAGACUGAUUUUUUUUUAGAUGCUCCCAACUCAGUAAAUUUUGCUUUCCUAUUUUCUUAUUUUUGUACGUAUGCCACUGAUGUCUAGCUUAUACACUUCUGUUAUAUUUACAGCUGUUUACAACCAUUGAACCAAAAGUUCUAUACCUGUUGAAUGUCUAAAAGUAGAGAAAAUUAAUUGAAAAGCAAUAGGUUAAGAAUCAACCUGUGGUCCCAAGAAAAAGAAGUAAAAUCCUAUAAAAUUCUUAAAGCAUUUCCUCUAUAAAUAUUUGAAAGUUAUUUAAUCUUUUGGUCUUUAUAGUGCCUGGAUUGACAUUCUGCAUUAACUAUGGAAUCAUUUUUAUAAGGAAUAUUUUGUGAUUUGUAUAAGAAAAAGUAUUUCUCAAUGGCAUAGGAAGAGCUUUGCUAACUCUUAGAAGAAAGAGGGAAGAGAAGAGGGAAGGAAACAAGUAAAACGAACUGGUGGUACAUCGUGUAUUAAGAGAUAAUACAAGGAUAUCAUACUAUAAUGUUUUCAGACAAAAAUUAUGGACAGGCUAAUUCGUGAAAUAAGAUGAAGACCUAAAAGGUAGCAAUGAUCCUAUACACUAUACUCUGUAACAGUUGUUUUCAAACUGCUUUUUAAACAUAAAAACAAUUUUAAAUCCACUAUUUUAGCACAUUCUGGUCUUAUAUAGUAAUUACAUGGCUAUAUUUUUCCAGUGUGACAUAUUUAAAAUACAUAUCAUUAAAUUUCUGGUUAAUCUUAAACAUGGAAAUAAAGUACGAAAUUUCUAGUUGUUGAAGUAUGUUUAAAAUAAAAUAUAUUAAAAUAUCA